GCGUCGGUGGUGCAACGGUUAGCAUACGUCCCCAGAAAGAGUGAAAUCUGGGUAUGAAUCCCGACUGACGCA